UACAGAGGGUGCAAGCGUUAAUCGGAUUUACUGGGCGUAAAGCGCACGCAGGCGGUUUGUUAAGUCAGAUGUGAAAUCCCCGGGCUCAACCUGGGAACUGCAUCUGAUACUGGCAAGCUUGAGUCCCGUAGAGGGGGGUAGAAUUCCAGGUGUAGCGGUGAAAUGCGUAGAGAUCUGGAGGAAUACCGGUGGCGAAGGCGGCCCCCUGGACGAAGACUGACGCUGAGGUGCGAAAGCGUGGGGAGCAAACAGG
rnacentral:rRNA from 1 species